rnacentral:tRNA from 1 species
GGGUGUAUGGCUCAGUUGGUAGAGCACUGGGCCCUUAACCUAAUGGUCGCAGGUUCAAGUCCCGCUAUGCCCA